rnacentral:rRNA from 1 species
AACGCUAGCUACAGGCUUAACACAUGCAAGUCGAGGGGAAACGACAUCGAAAGCUUGCUUUUGAUGGGCGUCGACCGGCGCACGGGUGAGUAACGCGUAUCCAACCUGCCCACCACUUGGGGAUAACCUUGCGAAAGUAAGACUAAUACCCAAUGACGUCUCUAGAAGACAUCUGAAGGAGAUUAAAGAUUUAUCGGUGAUGGAUGGGGAUGCGUCUGAUUAGCUUGUUGGCGGGGUAACGGCCCACCAAGGCAACGAUCAGUAGGGGUUCUGAGAGGAAGGUCCCCCACAUUGGAACUGAGACACGGUCCAAACUCCUACGGGAGGCAGCAGUGAGGAAUAUUGGUCAAUGGGCGAGAGCCUGAACCAGCCAAGUAGCGUGCAGGAUGACGGCCCUAUGGGUUGUAAACUGCUUUUAUAAGGGAAUAAAGUGAGUCUCGUGAGACUUUUUGCAUGUACCUUAUGAAUAAGGACCGGCUAAUUCCGUGCCAGCAGCCGCGGUAAUACGGAAGGUCCGGGCGUUAUCCGGAUUUAUUGGGUUUAAAGGGAGCGUAGGCCGGAGAUUAAGCGUGUUGUGAAAUGUAGACGCUCAACGUCUGCACUGCAGCGCGAACUGGUUUCCUUGAGUACGCACAAAGUGGGCGGAAUUCGUGGUGUAGCGGUGAAAUGCUUAGAUAUCACGAAGAACUCCGAUUGCGAAGGCAGCUCACUGGAGCGCAACUGACGCUGAAGCUCGAAAGUGCGGGUAUCGAACAGGAUUAGAUACCCUGGUAGUCCGCACGGUAAACGAUGGAUGCCCGCUGUUGGUCUGAAUAGGUCAGCGGCCAAGCGAAAGCAUUAAGCAUCCCACCUGGGGAGUACGCCGGCAACGGUGAAACUCAAAGGAAUUGACGGA